rnacentral:rRNA from 1 species
GACGAACGCUGGCGGCGUGCUUAACACAUGCAAGUCGAACGGAAAGGCCCCUUUGGGGGUACUCGAGUGGCGAACGGGUGAGUAACACGUGAGUAACCUGCCCUUGACUUCGGGAUAACUUCAGGAAACUGGGGCUAAUACCGGAUAGGAAUCCUUGCUGCAUGGUGGGGGUUGGAAAGCUUCGGCGGUUUUGGAUGGACUCGCGGCUUAUCAGCUUGUUGGUGGGGUAGUGGCUUACCAAGGCUUUGACGGGUAGCCGGCCUGAGAGGGCGACCGGCCACAUUGGGACUGGGAUCCGGCCCAGACUCCUACGGGGGGCAGCAGUGGGGAAUAUUGCACAAUGGGCGGAGGCCUGAUGCAGCAACGCCGCGUGCGGGAUAACGGCCUUCGGGUUUUAACCCGCUUUAGGCGGGGCGAAGCUUGUGGUGACGGUACCUGCAGAAGAAGCACCGGCUAACUACGUG